rnacentral:rRNA from 1 species
GACGAGCGCUGGCGGCGUGCUUAACACAUGCAAGUCGAACGGAAAGGCCCUGCUUUUGUGGGGUGCUCGAGUGGCGAACGGGUGAGUAACAUGUGAGUAACCUGCCCUUGACUUUGGGAUAACUUCAGGAAACUGGGGCUAAUACCGGAUAGGAGCUCCUGCUGCAUGGUGGGGGUUGGAAAGUUUCGGCGGUUGGGGAUGGACUCGCGGCUUAUCAGCUUGUUGGUGGGGUAGUGGCUUACCAAGGCUUUGACGGGUAGCCGGCCUGAGAGGGUGACCGGCCACAUUGGGACUGAGAUACGGCCCAGACUCCUGCGGGAGGCAGCAGUGGGGAAUAUUGCACAAUGGGCGGAAGCCGGAUGCAGCAACGCCGCGUGCGGGAUGACGGCCUUCGGGUUGUAAACCGCUUUCGCCUGUGACGAAGCGUGAGUGACGGUAAUGGGUAAAGAAGCACCGGCUAACUACGUG